rnacentral:lncRNA from 1 species
AGUCUUUUUUCCCUUGAUGGUUUUAACUGUAGUUGAAUAUCACUUCAAUCCUAAAAUUGGGAAACUAUUCUGAAUUAAGAGCAGGUCUCUAGUAACUUGUACUACAGGCAGAUGCUGCUGCAGUAAAACAUUUAACCCGGGACACCUUAACCCUAAAGAACAACCUAGUGCUCAGAACCUUGGAAUCCCUUCUUUCAGCUCACUCAUAUUUUAACAGAAGUUAGUCGUGCAUGUGAGACUCGAGGCUUUAUAUAAAUGUUUCUCCAAGACACUUUGAUACUGUACUUAAAAUGAAUUAGGAUCUUCACUCUGCUAUGAUUUUACCUGACAUAAUGCACACGCACGCUGUGUGUGUGUGUAUAAUUAACGGAUGGAACUCUGGGGAUGCCCAGAAAAAAGCAGUGUCCUUUAGCUCUCUAAAAAGUCAGUAUUCUCCUACAAAGAACAUGGCAGGAAGGGCCUUAUUUUUGGCCCAAUUAUAAAUGACACCAAUCUGCAUUGUCACCAGUGCAACUUGCUAGAGUACUCCCAUGAGUGCAGAAUAUAAAGAUUUUUCUUAACUCACAGAAAAAUAUAUAAAAGUUAAAAAAUGUGAUCUCAACCAAUCCAGUCUCUUUCCUACCCCUUAUCUUUGGGCAUGAAUUACAAAAGUAAUUCUGACAAUGGCUGUCAGUUCCCAGAGUUUAUGUUGCUUGCGUUAUUUGUGCUUUUUAUAACACCAUGCAAAUGUGAAAUCGGUUACGUUUGUACAAAAUUAUAUACCUAUGUACGUUAAGCCAUAUUGCAAUAACUGCAACAGGUAAAACAAAAUAACAAUAGCAUGACCUGUGUAACCCUUUGUAGUUCCAAAGCUGUUAAUAAUAUGUAAAGUUAUUUCUUGUCUAAAUCUCAUUUAAAGAAAGCUAGCGUUUCACAAUGGAAAUGGUCUGUUGGUAGAAGCGGAGAAGCAAGUGCUUAAAUCUUGCUUGUUUUUUAUAUUAAUCCUGGGCCUAGCUAAGCAAUGCAACAAAUGUGAACUGUAUAACCAAUGUUUCUCCUUGUUACAGACAUCUAUAAAAUAGGGCACCAUUAAGACCUUCCUAAUGGUGCAAGGAACAUCUCUCUACACACAGAUACUACUUUGUUCCAGCCAAUUGCUUUGGCCCCUGAAAUACUCAGGCUGCAACCUGUAGCUUGUGCUUAAACUCCAAGCUUGCAGCUUCCUCUAAUCCAAUGUACUGGGUUUAAAAAAAUGUUGAUUUUCUAUUUUCUGUUUUUAAGGUAGAUUUUCACUGACUAAAUAAAGUACAACCACAAGUUCA